CUUCCAAAGUUUGCAAAUUUUGUAUACUUUUGUAUUGCAAUUUUCGCAUGCAAUACAAAAGUAUACAAAAUUUGCAAAUUUGCAAGGCUAUAU
rnacentral:miRNA from 1 species